rnacentral:rRNA from 1 species
CGUACGUAGUACGUACGUACGUACGUAGUUACGUAGUACGUCGUACGCGGUCGACGUACGACGACGCCGGCCGGGCCGGCGUCGACCUAACACACGUAAGUCGAACGGUCCGGCACUCAACCGACCCUCAGUCUAACUGUAGGGGAAGUUGAGUGCCGGAUAGUGGCGGACGGGUGAGUAACGCGUGGGCAACCAACCCUGUACAGUGGGAUAACACCGGGAAACCGGUGCUAAUACCGCAUGACACCUAGAUGGUGCAUACUGUUUAGGUUAAAGGGCAAAACCGGUACGGGACGGGCCCGCGUCCCAUUAGCUGGUUGGUGAGAUAACGGCUCACCAAGGCGACGAUGGGUAGCCGACCUGAGAGGGUGGCCGGCCACACUGGGACUGAGACACGGCCCAGACUCCUACGGGAGGCAGCAGUGGGGAAUAUCGCGCAAUGGACGGAAGUCUGACGCAGCGACGCCGCGUGAGCGAAGAAGGCCUUCGGGUCGUAAAGCUCUGUUCUUGGGGACGAAUAAAAUGACGGUACCCAAGGAGAAAGCCCCGGCUAACUACGUG